GACGAACGCUGGCGGCGUGCUUAACACAUGCAAGUCGAACGGAAAGGCCCUGCUUUUGUGGGGUGCUCGAGUGGCGAACGGGUGAGUAACACGUGAGUAACCUGCCCUUGACUUUGGGAUAACUUCGGGAAACUGGGGCUAAUACCGGAUAGGAGCUCCUGCUGCAUGGUGGGGGUUGGAAAGUUUCGGCGGUUGGGGAUGGACUCGCGGCUUAUCAGCUUGUUGGUGGGGUAGUGGCUUACCAAGGCUUUGACGGGUAGCCGGCCUGAGAGGGUGACCGGCCACAUUGGGACUGAGAUACGGCCCAGACUCCUACGGGAGGCAGCAGUGGGGAAUAUUGCACAAUGGGCGCAAGCCUGAUGCAGCAACGCCGCGUGCGGGAUGACGGCCUUCGGGUUGUAAACCGCUUUCGCCUGUGACGAAGCGUGAGUGACGGUAAUGGGUAAAGAAGCACCGGCUAACUACGUG
rnacentral:rRNA from 1 species